GGUACACGAGUGGCGAACGGGUGAGUAACACGUGGGUGACCUGCCCUGCACUUCGGGAUAAGCCUGGGAAACUGGGUCUAAUACCGGAUAGGACCGCACCGUGAGGGUGUGGUGGAAAGUUUUUUCGGUGUGGGAUGGGCCCGCGGCCUAUCAGCUUGUUGGUGGGGUAAUGGCCUACCAAGGCGGCGACGGGUAGCCGGCCUGAGAGGGUGGACGGCCACAUUGGGACUGAGACACGGCCCAGACUCCUACGGGAGGCAGCAGUGGGGAAUAUUGCACAAUGGGCGGAAGCCUGAUGCAGCGACGCCGCGUGGGGGAUGACGGCCUUCGGGUUGUAAACUCCUUUCACCAUCGACGAAGGGUUUCUGACGGUAGAUGGAGAAGAAGCACCGGCUAACUACGUGCCAGCAGCCGCGGUAAUACGUAGGGUGCGAGCGUUGUCCGGAAUUACUGGGCGUAAAGAGCUCGUAGGUGGUUUGUCGCGUCGUCUGUGAAAUUCCGGGGCUUAACUCCGGGCGUGCAGGCGAUACGGGCAUAACUUGAGUACUGUAGGGGAGACUGGAAUUCCUGGGUAGCGGUGAAAUGCGCAGAUAUCAGGAGGAACACCGGUGGCGAAGGCGGGUCUCUGGGCAGUAACUGACGCUGAGGAGCGAAAGCAUGGGGAGCGAACAGGAUUAGAUACCCUGGUAGUCCAUGCCGUAAACGGUGGGCGCUAGGUGUGGGUUUCCUUCCACGGGAUCCGUGCCGUAGCUAACGCAUUAAGCGCCCCGCCUGGGGAGUACGGCCGCAAGGCUAAAACUCAAAGGAAUUGACGGGGGCCCGCACAAGCGGCGGAGCAUGUGGAUUAAUUCGAUGCAACGCGAAGAACCUUACCUGGGCUUGACAUAUACAGGAUCGCGCCAGAGAUGGUGUUUCCCUUGUGGCUUGUAUACAGGUGGUGCAUGGUUGUCGUCAGCUCGUGUCGUGAGAUGUUGGGUUAAGUCCCGCAACGAGCGCAACCCUUGUCUUAUGUUGCCAGCACGUUGUGGUGGGGACUCGUAAGAAACUGCCGGGGUUAACUCGGAGGAAGGUGGGGAUGACGUCAAAUCAUCAUGCCCCUUAUGUCCAGGGCUUCACACAUGCUACAAUGGUCGGUACAGUGGGUUGCCAGUCCGUGAGGGCGAGCUAAUCCCGCAAAGCCGGUCUCAGUUCGGAUCGGGGUCUGCAACUCGACCCCGUGAAGUCGGAGUCGCUAGUAAUCGCAGAUCAGCAACGCUGCGGUGAAUACGUUCCCGGGCCUUGUACACACCGCCCGUCACGUCAUGAAAGUCGGUAACACCCGAAGCCAGUGGC
rnacentral:rRNA from 1 species